rnacentral:rRNA from 1 species
AUAACUACCCAGUAAUCCGGGAUAACAUCUCGAAAGAGAUGCUAAUACCUGAUAAGCCCACGAUCUCUUCGGAGAACGAGGGAAAAGGUGGGGACCUUCGGGCCUGCCGUUGCUGGAUGAGUCCGCGGCCCAUUAGCUAGUUGGUAGGGUAAUGGCCUACCAAGGCUACGAUGGGUAGCUGGUCUGAGAGGAUGAUCAGCCACACUGGAAUUGAGACACGGUCCAG